GCUUGCUUCAGCAGCAUAUACCAAACAUGCAAUGAUACAGAGAAAAUUAGCAUGGCCCCUGUACGAGGAUGACACACAUAUUAUUGAAGCAUUCUAUAUUUAA